rnacentral:rRNA from 1 species
AACGAACGUUAGCGGCGCGCUUAACACAUGCAAGUCGAGCGAGAAAGGGCUUCGGCCCGGUAAAGCGGCGCACGGGUGAGUAACACGUAGGUAAUUUGCCUCUAGGUGGUGGAUAACCUUCCGAAAGGAGGGCUAAUACAGCAUAAGACCACGGUUCCGAAAGGGAUUGGGGUCAAAGCCGGCCUCUUCACGAAAGCUGGUGCCAAGAGAUGAGCCUGCGGCCCAUCAGGUAGUUGGUAGGGUAAUGGCCUACCAAGCCGAAGACGGGUAGCUGGUCUGAGAGGAUGAUCAGCCACACUGGAACUGAGACACGGUCCAGACUCCUACGGGAGGCAGCAGUGGGGAAUCUUGCGCAAUGGGCGAAAGCCUGACGCAGCGACGCCGCGUGAGUGAUGAAGGCCUUCGGGUUGUAAAGCUCUGUGGAGGGGGACGAAUAAGGGUUGGGCUAAUAUCCAACCUGAUGACGGUACCCCUUUAGCAAGCACCGGCUAACUCUGUGCCAGCAGCCGCGGUAAU